rnacentral:tRNA from 1 species
GGGAGGGUAGCCUUGUGGUUAAGGCAUUUGACUGUGACUUCAGAGAUCAGAUUCAAAUUUUGGCUCUGCCA